rnacentral:tRNA from 1 species
GUUUAUAUAGUUUAAUAAAAACAUUAGAUCGUGAAUCUAAAAACAGAGGCAAAGACCCUCUUUUAACCC